CCUACGGGAGGCUGCAGUGAGGAAUAUUGGUCAAUGGACGAGAGUCUGAACCAGCCAAGUAGCGUGCAGGAUGACUGCCCUAUGGGUUGUAAACUUCUUUUAUAUGGGAAUAAAAUGUUCCACGUGUGGGAUUUUGUAGGUACCAUAUGAAUAAGGAUCGGCUAACUCCGUGCCAGCAGCCGCGGUAAUACGGAGGGUCCGAGCGUUAUCCGGAUUUAUUGGGUUUAAAGGGAGCGUAGGUGGAUUGUUAAGUCAGUUGUGAAAGUUUGCGGCUCAACCGUAAAAUUGCAGUUGAAACUGGCAGUCUUGAGUACAGUAGAGGUAGGCGGAAUUCGUGGUGUAGCGGUGAAAUGCUUAGAUAUCACGAAGAACUCCGAUUGCGAAGGCAGUUCACUGGACUGCAACUGAUACUGAGGCUCGAAAGUGUGGGUAUCAAACAGGAUUAGAUACCCGAGUAGUC
rnacentral:rRNA from 1 species